rnacentral:rRNA from 1 species
UACGAAGGGGGCGAGCGUUGUUCGGAUUUACUGGGCGUAAAGGGCGCGCAGGCGGCUAUCCAAGUCAGGCGUGAAAGCCCCGGGCUUAACCUGGGAGGUGCGUCUGGGACUGGGUGGCUAGAGUUCGGGAGAGGAGAGUGGAAUUCCCAGUGUAGCGGUGAAAUGCGCAGAUAUCGGGAAGAACACCCGUGGCGAAGGCGGUUCUCUGGGACGGUACUGACGCUGAGACGCGAAAGCGUGGGGAGCGAACAGG